rnacentral:rRNA from 1 species
UACGAAGGGUGCAAACGUUGCUCGGAAUCAUUGGGCGUAAAGCGCACGUAGGCGGCGCAGUAAGUCGGACGUGAAAUCCCUCGGCUCAACCGAGGACGUGCAUCCGAAACUACUGUGCUCGAGUAUGGAAGAGGGUCGCGGAAUUCUCGGUGUAGAGGUGAAAUUCGUAGAUAUCGGGAGGAACACCAGUGGCGAAGGCGGCGACCUGGGCCAAUACUGACGCUCAUGCACGACAGCGUGGGGAUCAAGCAGG